GUAGACUACGAGUGAGCGUGGAGCUGGAGCUUGAUGAGUAAUUUCCCUCCUGACCAGUGAACUGCCGCUUGGCUCAUUUUCUCAAAGAAUCGACUUCUCAGACUGGAGGCAGAUAAAUGAAUGACACUGAAUAGCCUGUUACCGUGUGUCUUAGAAUCAUAUGUGCUAUCUGGGACUUUAAUAACAGUGGAAAAGUAGGAGAGGUGGUGGCAGAGACUCCUGUUCAAAUAACGAUUGUCCAACAGCUUCUACUGAAAUUGCUAAUGACGACAGCACAAGAAGAAAGGCUGCAGUGCCACAAAGAUGAUCCUAAUAAGCUGGGGGGAAAUUCACAAAGUCUGAAGCAAGUGCUGCUGGACUGAGAAAAGUCCUAUUCCAUCUUUUAUUCUGGAGACAGAGGCAGCAUGAAGCAGCAGGAAUGCACUUGUAUCCUCUCUGUCUGCUGCAGGGAGCGGGGUCCACACCCACCAAGCAGGAGAACCUGCCCUCUGAGAAGGUGGAAGCUUCCUCCCCAAUCCCCACUCCUCCAAGGUUGUUUCAGAGACCUCGCCCCCCAGCCCCCGAAAUAACAGCACAGGAGUGUGAAAGCCACCGAGCCUAAGUGUAGAGCACCCUGUGAGCCCAAAGUUGAGCCUGCGACACGGAGCUGGGUGGAAGGCCCCUGGCACAGCGCGUGCUGGAACUGUGGACUUACCUGCCUUGCCCUGCUCUGGGGGCGGGCAAAGAAGUCAACACACCUGUGAGGUUGAGGGGGCUUUGGGGACCUCUCAACUGACUGGAGAUGCCUCUGUUCUACCCUUAGCACUUUUGACGCCCCUUACCCCAGUUUCAGAGUGUAUGAAGUGCUGUUUGUAAGCGCAUAUCACAACGAACACAUGCUGAGUGCCUACUGCAUGCCGUGUGCACAUGUGACAGCGAACAUAUGCUGAGUGCCUACUGCAUGCCAUGUGCACACGUGACAGCGAACACAUGCCGAGUGCCUGCUGCAUGCACACGUGACAGUGAACACACGUCGAGUGCCUGGUUUGUGCCGUGUGCACACAUGGCAGCGAACACAUCCUGAGUGCCUACUGCGUGCUGUGUGCACAUGUGACAGCGAACAUAUGCCGAGUCCCUGCUGCGUGCCAUGUGCACACGUGACAGCGAACACACGCCGAGUGCCUGGUGUGUGCCGUGCACACAUGGCAGCAAACGCAUCCUGAGUGCCUACUGCGUGCUGUGCAUGGUUUUAAACACUUUAUAUGACCCAGCUGGUGAUCUUCACAGCAGCUCCACGAAGUGGGUGCUGUUGUUAUUUAUUCUCAUUUUACAGAUGAAGAAACUGAAGGACAGGAGGUUGAAUAGCUCGUUCAAAUUUUCAGUUAGUGAAUGGCCGAGCUGGGGUUUGAACCUGGAGAACCUCACUCCCAGUUCUGCACUCCUAAUCACGUUUCUAUGCCAUCCUUGAAAUACAAAUAGUGAAACAGAAGCUGUCUGUGUUGGUGUGUAUGUUUGUAUAAGUACAAACAAAUGUACACACACACGUAUGUUUGCCAGCUGAUCAGGUCAGGGGUGGGGAUAUGUUGUUAUAAGUGAAAUCUGUACUUCAAGCCAGGGCCCCAGAAUGCAGAGAACACAGGUGAGGAGACCAGGUGGAGAGACAGGGAGGAAGACAGGCAUGCACAUGGGGUACGAUGCUGCUUCUGGGGACCAGGCUUCUGGCCGUGCCUGCACUGGCAGACCACACCCAGUGAACAGUCUUGAGCAAGCUGCCUCAAGAAGAAUUAACUUCUGUGGACAGCGUCUGACUCUGAAUUCUGUAGGGGGCAUCCCUGCUUGUCGUCUGUGGAGAGUGCAGGAGACGACCUGUCUUGUCUGUGAGCUGGUGUCCUCUGUCGUGAGAAGCCUGCCAAACCCAGAGCACAGGGCACAGGGUUUCCCCACCUCCUUGCCUCUUUUCUGCUCUUUGGGGGUGGAUGGGAGCAUGGGGUGGGAGAGAUGAACAGACAUCCCUUCAAACACACCUACUUGUGUUUGUUUUCAGGUCCUAAGUAACUGUUGACAAUAACACUGAUAGAGAGAUGCGAGCUCAGACGUAUUUUAAACUCUGGACAGAUAGAAACUGGUUAUAUAAAACUCCAAAACUUGGAAAAAAUGGAGCAAAGAAAAUGCAGCAAAUUACAAAACAAAACGAAAGCGUGAAAGAGAACUAUCAAGGCAAAGUAAGACCGCGGAGACAGAUCUGAAGUCGUUCAGUCCUUGCGGUGAACGACUUCAGCGAGUACCACCACCCCUUUCUUCUAAGCCAGGAUCUUCAGGAGAGUAGCAGACAGAAAAAGAAACGAGCAAACCAAACUUUCUCCAUGGCAACGAGGCCAGCAAAUAGAGGGAAGGUGUCAAUCCAAAAAGCCAUGAAACGUGUGAGAGGCUUCUUCACCCAGCCCCACAGAAGCGGCCAGGAUGUCAGCCCAAGGACACGGAGGACUUGACCAGCGAAGUUGGGGCUGACUUUUGUGGAACUGUUGAUCUCCCUUCCUGUCAUAGAAAUCUAGAAUGCAGUGUGAUCCCAAGCACACAACAAUGGGAUUAAAAAACAAACAAGGGGCCGGUCCUGUGGCCCAGUGGCUAGGGUUGCACACGCUCCACUUGGGCAGCCCAGGUUUGCGGGUUCGGAUUCCGGUGCAGGCCUUCUCCACUCGUCGUCGUGCUGUAAAGGCAUCCCACAUGCAAAGUAGAGGAGGAUUGACACAGACUUCAGCUCAGGGCUAAUCUUCCUCACCAAAAAAAUAACCAAAAAAACAAACAAUAGAAAUUGCAGGAUGAUCUUAAGGAAGAAUCUAUGUAUAGGGUUUUUGUUUGUUUGUUUUAAUAAAGAAGAGUGAUGAAGGAGGUAAAUCUGUGCUGAAAAUAUAAAUUAUUUAAUAGAUUAUUGACAAAUUGGCUAACUUGCUAUGGGAGAGGCAGACAAACAAGUAGCUUCCUACCUUAAUUUUAAAUCUAAAUAAAUUCCAGAUGGAUAAAGGUGUAAGUAUAAAGAACAAAACCAUCAUGGGUGCAGAACAAAAACGUAGGUGACAUUUGUGUAGAUCGAAGGCAGAGAAGGACCUGCUCAGACAGAUGCCAGAGGCGGGAACAGCAAGG
ensembl:lncRNA